ACAAACUUGGUCAUUUAGAGGAAGUAAAAGUCGUAACAAGGUUUCCGUAGGUGAACCUGCGGAAGGAUCAUUAUAGAAUUGUUGAAACUGGGUUGUCGCUGGCUCUCUCUUUCUUGAGAUUGCAUGUGCACGCCUACUUCAAACUUUUCAAAAAUUUUUAAACCUCCUGUGCACUCUUGUGGAUUGUGAAUGAAUAAACUUGGUCAAAGUUACAUUUGGUUUUGGGGAUCGCAUUUUGCUUUCCCCUACUCUUCAUCCAUAGUUCAUGUAUUUUACUAUAAAUCAUUAAAUAUCAACCUAGAAUGCUUCACAAGUUGGGACUUUAGUGACCCUUCUUAAAUCUUAUACAACUUUCAACAACGGAUCUCUUGGCUCUCGCAUCGAUGAAGAACGCAGC
rnacentral:misc_RNA from 1 species